rnacentral:rRNA from 1 species
UACGUAGGGUGCGAGCGUUGUCCGGAAUUAUUGGGCGUAAAGAGCUCGUAGGCGGUGUGUCGCGUCGGCCGUGAAACCUGCAGCUUAACUGUGGGCGUGCGGUCGAUACGGGGCAUCACUGGAGUUCGGCAGGGGAGACUGGAAUUCCUGGUGUAGCGGUGAAAUGCGCAGAUAUCAGGAGGAACACCGGUGGCGAAGGCGGGUCUCUGGGCCGAUACUGACGUGGAGGAGCGAAAGCGUGGGGAGCGAACAGG